GACGUAGGGCGCGAGCGUUGUCCGGAAUUAUUGGGCGUAAAGGGCUCGUAGGCGGUCUGUCACGUCGAAAGUGAAAACUCAGGGCUUAACCCUGAGCCUGCUUCCGAUACGGGCAGACUAGAGGUAUGCAGGGGAGAAUGGAAUUCCUGGUGUAGCGGUGAAAUGCGCAGAUAUCAGGAGGAACACCAGUGGCGAAGGCGGUUCUCUGGGCAUUACCUGACGCUGAGGAGCGAAAGUGUGGGGAGCGAACAGG
rnacentral:rRNA from 1 species